rnacentral:rRNA from 1 species
AGCAGCCGCGGUAAUUCCAGCUCCAAUAGCGUAUAUUAAAGUUGUUGCAGUUAAAAAGCUCGUAGUUGAAUUUCGGGAUCAAUAUGUUGGUCGUGCCUUGGUACGUACUAAUUUAUUGGUUUCUUCCUUCUGACGAACCAUGAUGUCAUUAAUUUGGUGUCUUGGGGAAUCAGGACUGUUACUUUGAAAAAAUUAGAGUGUUUAAAGCAGGCUCACGCUUGAAUACAUUAGCAUGGAAUAAUGAAAUAGGAUGUUUGAUUCUAUUUUGUUGGUUUCUAGGAUCGACGUAAUGAUUAAUAGGGAUAGUUGGGGGCAUUAGUAUUCAAUUGUCAGAGGUGAAAUUCUUGGAUUUAUUGAAGACUAACUACUGCGAAAGCAUUUGCCAAGGAUGUUUUCAUUAAUUAAGAACGAAAGUUAGGGGAUCGAAGACGAUCAGAUACCGUCGUAGUCUUAACCAUAAACUAUGCCGACUAGGGAUCGGAUGAUGUUAAUUUUUAAUGACUCAUUCGGCGCCUUACGG